UACGGAGGGAGCUAGCGUUGUUCGGAAUUACUGGGCGUAAAGCGCGCGUAGGCGGCUUUGCAAGUUAGAGGUGAAAGCCCGGGGCUCAACCCCGGAACUGCCUUUAAGACUGCAUCGCUUGAAUCCAGGAGAGGUGAGUGGAAUUCCGAGUGUAGAGGUGAAAUUCGUAGAUAUUCGGAAGAACACCAGUGGCGAAGGCGGCUCACUGGACUGGUAUUGACGCUGAGGUGCGAAAGCGUGGGGAGCAAACAGG
rnacentral:rRNA from 1 species